UACGAAGGGGGCAAGCGUUGUUCGGAAUUACUGGGCGUAAAGGGCGCGUAGGCGGUGCUCUAAGUCAGGCGUGAAAGCCCUGGGCUCAACCCGGGAACUGCGCUUGAUACUGGGGCGCUUGAAUCCAGGAGAGGUUGGUGGAAUUCCCAGUGUAGAGGUGAAAUUCGUAGAGAUUGGGAAGAACACCGGUGGCGAAGGCGGCCAACUGGACUGGUAUUGACGCUGAGGCGCGAAGGCGUGGGGAGCGAACGGG
rnacentral:rRNA from 1 species